UCUGCUUGCAAGCUACCGGUUGAGGAUGGCUUCGCGUCCCAUUAGCUAGUUGGCGGUGUAACGGACCACCAAGGCGACGAUGGGUAGCUGGUCUGAGAGGAUGGUCAGCCACACUGGGACUGAGAUACGGCCCAGACUCCUACGGAAGGCAGCAGUCGAGAGGCUUUGGCAAUGGGGGAAACCCUGACCAAGCGACGCCGCGUGGAGGAUGAAGGCCCUUGGGUCGUAAACUCCUUAUGUCGGGGAAGAAACACGAUCAGGUUAACAAUCUGGUCGCUUGACGGUACCCGGCGAAUAAGCUCCGGCUAACUCCGUGCCAGCAGCCGCGGUAAUACGGGGGGAGCAAGCGUUGUUCGGAAUUACUGGGCGUAAAGGGCGUGUAGGCGGUUAGGUAAGUGGAAUGUGAGAUCCCUCGGCUCACCCGAGGACCUGCAUCCCAAACUGCCUGACUUGAGUAUGGGAGAGGAUGAGGGAAUUCCUGGUGUAGCGGUGAAAUGCGUAGAUAUCAGGAGGAACACCGGUGGCGAAGGCGCUCAUCUGGCCCAAUACUGACGCUGAGGCGCGAAAGCUAGGGGAGCAAACGGGAUUAGAUACCCCGGUAGUCCUAGCCGUAAACGGUGAUCACUAGGUGUUGGAGGCAUCGACCCCUCCAGUGCCGCAGCUAACGCAUUAAGUGAUCCGCCUGGGGAGUACGGCCGCAAGGUUGAAACUCAAAGGAAUUGACGGGGGCUCACACAAGCGGUGG
rnacentral:rRNA from 1 species